rnacentral:rRNA from 1 species
GAUGAACGCUGGCGGCGUGCCUAAUACAUGCAAGUCGAGCGAACAGAUGAGGAGCUUGCUCCUCUGACGUUAGCGGCGGACGGGUGAGUAACACGUGGAUAACCUACCUAUAAGACUGGGAUAACUUCGGGAAACCGGAGCUAAUACCGGAUCAUAUAUUGAACCGCAUGGUUCAAUAGUGAAAGACGGUUUUGCUGUCACUUAUAGAUGGAUCCGCGCCGCAUUAGCUAGUUGGUAAAGUAACGGCUUACCAAGGCAACGAUGCGUAGCCGACCUGAGAGGGUGAUCAGCCACACUGGAACUGAGACACGGUCCAGACUCCUACGGGAGGCAGCAGUAGGGAAUCUUCCGCAAUGGGCGAAAGCUUGACGGAGCAACGCCGCGUGAGUGAUGAAGGUCUUCGGAUCGUAAAACUCUGUUAUUAGGGAAGAACAAAUGUGUAAGUAACUAUGCACGUCUUGACGGUACCUAAUCAGAAAGCCACGGCUAACUACGUG